GGGGACCCUGCACCAUAAUCACCAAUGAAAUAGGUCGGUAUCGGAAUCUUGGAACGCCCCUCAAUGUAGCCAUUGAAUUCAUCAAUCCCCUCAACUGAAUCAGGAAAAAAUUGGCCUACGCAAAGAAGAGCAUCAAAUGGACCAGCUGCCUUGUUCACCGAAGAAACGCGUUUGAAUAGAUGAUUGAGACGGCCGAGUACAUCUAUUCAAAC
rnacentral:misc_RNA from 1 species